rnacentral:lncRNA from 1 species
UCAGCUAGCCAGCGGCUGCUAGGGAUACAGCUGUUGUGGCAUCUCAGUGGGUUCACUCCUUGCUCUUGCCGGGGGAGGAGACAAGGCUACCCACCUCAGGACCAGCAGACACUCAGACCCCUGGACAGGAAGGGUGCUAGAUGACCACACAUCCUUUGUGAAAAUAGGUAUUUCGGUGGACUUCCGGGCUUCUGGCCCUCCGGAGCACGGGGCAGGCAGAUUAAGUCAGGCUGAGGACUAGGUGAAGCGUCAGAAUUUCCGGUUCUUUGUCCAGAUUAAAUGCCAUUGCGCUGAACGCACCCGCUCUCGGCUGAAGUGGGGAGGCCGAUUCGAUUAGUAUAGACGCAGAAUAGGAGCAAUGGAGACAUGUCUGAAGAUGUGGGAAGGAAGAGCUGACUCAUAUAAGUCCCAUUACACCUUUAAGACAACCUCUUGGAAGAGACAAAGACCCUACAGAGAUGAGGGCCAACUGUGCCACAGAAACAACCAAGAUUUGCCACAUCAGCUGAUUUCACACCAGUGCUGUGAAUUGAUUUGUUGUUGUUGUUGUUGUUGUUGUUAGCAAAGCUGUGACCAUGGUAGCCAGGCAGGGCCACCAAAAUUGCUAGAGUAGUAUAAAUAAAACAUAGAAGUCAGGGAUUGU